AUUGAACGCUGGCGGCAGGCCUAACACAUGCAAGUCGAACGAGUGGCGGACGGGUGAGUAAUGUAUGGGAAACUGCCUGAUGGAGGGGGAUAACUACUGGAAACGGUAGCUAAUACCGCAUACCAUCAGAUGAACCCAGAUGGGAUUAGCUUGUUGGUGGGGUAACGGCUCACCAAGGCGACGAUCCCUAGCUGGUCUGCGAGGAUGAUCAGCCAGACUGGAACUGAGACACGGCCCAGACUCCGACGGGAGGCAGCAGUGGGGAAUAGUGCACAAUGGGCGAAAGCCGGAUGCAGCCAUGCCGCGUGUAUGAAGAAGGCCUUCGGGUUGUAAAGUACUUUCAGUCGGGAGGCGUUACCCACAGAAGAAGCACCGGCUAACUCCGUGCCAGCAGCCGCGGUAAUUC
rnacentral:rRNA from 1 species